GGGAAGUAUGGUUGCAAAGCUGAAACUUAAAGGAAUUGACGGAAGGGCACCACCAGGAGUGGAGCCUGCGGCUUAAUUUGACUCAACACGGGGAAACUCACCCGGCCCGGACACCGUAAGGAUUGACAGAUUGAUAGCUUUUUCAUGAUUCGGUGGAUGGUGGUGCAUGGCCGUUCUUAGUUCGUGGAGCGAUUUGUCUGGUUUAUUCCGAUAACGAGCGAGACUCUAGCCUACUAAAUAGUUGGCUCAUUGCUGCUGUGGGCACAACUUCUUAGAGGGAUUUUCGGUGUUCAGCCGCACGAAAUUGAGCAAUAACAGGUCUGUGAUGCCCUUAGAUGUCCGGGGCUGCACGCGCGCUACACUGGCAAAAUCAGCGUGCUUGUCCUUCCCCGAAAGGGGUUGGUAAACCGGUGAAAAUUUGCCGUGAUUGGGAUCGGACAUUGCAAUUAUUGUCCGUGAACGAGAGUUUCCCUUGCACCAACCCAGCAACCCUACUAGAGUUUCCCCUGCAUCCA
rnacentral:ncRNA from 1 species